rnacentral:rRNA from 1 species
AAGUCGAACGGUGAAGCAGAGCUUGCUCUGUGGAUCAGUGGCGAACGGGUGAGUAACACGUGAGCAACCUGCCCCUGACUCUGGGAUAAGCGCUGGAAACGGCGUCUAAUACUGGAUACGAGCAACGGCCGCAUGGCCAGUUGUUGGAAAGAUUUUUUGGUUGGGGAUGGGCUCGCGGCCUAUCAGCUUGUUGGUGAGGUAAUGGCUCACCAAGGCGUCGACGGGUAGCCGGCCUGAGAGGGUGACCGGCCACACUGGGACUGAGACACGGCCCAGACUCCUACGGGAGGCAGCAGUGGGGAAUAUUGCACAAUGGGCGGAAGCCUGAUGCAGCAACGCCGCGUGAGGGAUGACGGCCUUCGGGUUGUAAACCUCUUUUAGCAGGGAAGAAGCGAAAGUGACGGUACCUGCAGAAAAAGCGCCGGCUAACUACGUGCCAGCAGCCGCGGUAAUACGUAGGGCGCAAGCGUUAUCCGGAAUUAUUGGGCGUAAAGAGCUCGUAGGCGGUUUGUCGCGUCUGCUGUGAAAUCCCGAGGCUCAACCUCGGGCCUGCAGUGGGUACGGGCAGACUAGAGUGCGGUAGGGGAGAUUGGAAUUCCUGGUGUAGCGGUGGAAUGCGCAGAUAUCAGGAGGAACACCGAUGGCGAAGGCAGAUCUCUGGGCCGUAACUGACGCUAGGAGCGAAAGGGU